UUUCCUAAUACCAUAAACAGUGGAUGUACAGAAUACAUUUCAAUUUCUCUCUCUCACCUUUUCUACCGUCGCACUCCGACGACGGCGCCACCGAAAAUUCACGCCUCCUCUUUUCUGAUAACUUUUGCUCAACUUCUUUAAAAAAAAUUGAAUUGAAAAAUUGGUUGCAUCAACCCAAAGGCUGAAUUUCUUUCUUUUUCUUAACUCACCCCGUACUCUGGCUACAACAACACCCGAUUGCAGAUCAUGGGCAGAAGCUUUAUAGGUAUUCGAUUGUUUGAUUCGCCAAGUUUCUCCAGUAGAAGGCGUGGAUGAAUUUGUACCUUCAUUUUGAAUAGGGGAAUACUUUCCAGAACACUUGGCCCUCAGAAUUGGAUUGUAUAAAUCUCAAUGAAAUGGAACCAUACACUUCUCCAAUGAGGAUUUAUGUACAGAACUGUAGCAAUGCAAAGCACAACACAUAUGUAAGAUACGAUGAAGCUUACAUAGAAGACCUCCAUGUCCAUGAAACCGCGCUCCUCACUUUCAUCAUUAGCAGAUGGCAGGACAGGUGAUGAUCUAGUGCUAGUACAGUUGAUUGGUAAUGGACGACCACAAAGAUAAGGAUUUCCCUGGUAGCUAUCUUCACCAAAGGUUCCAAACUGACCUUUCUCUGGUAUAGUACCUGUUAAAUUGUUAUGUGACACGUUGAAGACUUCUAAAGUGUUUAACUUAAUCAGACCAUUGGGGAUCUUCCCACCCAAGUUGUUAUAGGAGAGAUCUAAGCUCUCGAUCUGAUGUAGGCUUGAGAAUGUUGCUGGAAUUGUUCCAUUAAGAUUGUUGUGGGACAAGUUGAUUGCAUGGAUCUCACUUAACUUUCCAAGGCUGUCCGGAAUUUCACCAUGUAAUUUAUUGGAAGAGAGAUUAAUUCCAGACAUGUUAUUGAGGAUGUAACCUUUGUAAGGAUAAGAAUUUCCCUUUGUCUUAAAUGUCACUAUAAUUGGCACUCUGUCGAGUACAAUUAUUGUUAACUCAGAGUUCUCCUUGGUUUUCCCCAUUGAUAUGUUACCAAAGCACUGCGGGAUUUGACCCGAAAGGAAAUUAAAAGAAAGGUCUAUCAAACUUAGUUUGUUCAUCUCACAAAACUGGUGAGGGAUCAUGCCUUCAAAAUGGUUACCGCUGAGUAGAAAAAAUCUCAUGCUUGAUAGAGUGCCAAUCCAUUGAGGGAUACUUCCAGUGAACUUAUUCUCUCUGAGAUCCAAUAACUCCAACGAAGAGCUAUUAUAAAAUGCUUCUAUCAGCUCACCUUCUAAUUGGUUAUUGUUCAGAUAGACAUGACUUAUUGUUGAUGUAUUGAAGCAGGAUGGGACCGAACCACAUAACUUGUUAUGAGAUAAAUCUAAGA